AGAGUUUGAUCCUGGCUCAGAUUGAACGCUGGCGGCAUGCUUUACACAUGCAAGUCGAACGGUAACAGGGAGCUUGCUCCGCUGACGAGUGGCGAACGGGUGAGUAAUAUAUCGGAACGUACCCAAGAGUGGGGGAUAACGUAGCGAAAGUUACGCUAAUACCGCAUACGAUCUAAGGAUGAAAGUGGGGGAUCGCAAGACCUCAUGCUCCUGGAGCGGCCGAUAUCUGAUUAGCUAGUUGGUAGGGUAAAAGCCUACCAAGGCAUCGAUCAGUAGCUGGUCUGAGAGGACGACCAGCCACACUGGAACUGAGACACGGUCCAGACUCCUACGGGAGGCAGCAGUGGGGAAUUUUGGACAAUGGGCGCAAGCCUGAUCCAGCAAUGCCGCGUGAGUGAAGAAGGCCUUCGGGUUGUAAAGCUCUUUUGUCAGGGAAGAAACGGGUGGGGCUAAUAUCCUCAUCUAAUGACGGUACCUGAAGAAUAAGCACCGGCUAACUACGUGCCAGCAGCCGCGGUAAUACGUAGGGUGCAAGCGUUGUCCGGAAUUAUUGGGCGUAAAGAGCGUGUAGGCGGCCCGAUUAGUCCGCUGUGAAAGUCCAGGGCUCAACCCUGGAAUGCCGGUGGAUACUGUCGGGCUAGAGUCCGGAAGGGGCGAGUGGAAUUCCUGGUGUAGCGGUGAAAUGCGCAGAUAUCAGGAGGAACACCAAUGGCGAAGGCAGCUCGCUGGGACGGUACUGACGCUGAGACGCGAAAGCGUGGGGAGCAAACAGGAUUAGAUACCCUGGUAGUCCACGCCGUAAACG
rnacentral:rRNA from 1 species